GAAAAUCUUAGUCAUGUCAUCACUUGAGAAAGUCAUUGUGAAAAGACAUCUAUGGCAAGGACAACCUUUGGGGAAGAUCCACCUCUGAAAAUACACUGAAAGAGUGAGAAGAAGCAGAAGAAACAAUUUACUAGCUACUGGUUGAGAAGACGGCGGUGCAGCUUCUGUAACCUCCAGACUCCAUUUGUGACCCCAAGUUUCAGCUCUUGGACUCCUGUUCUGAGUGUGCACCUUAGGCAUUGUGCUGACAUGCCCUGGAAGGAGAAGAGACCGAUGAACCACCCCAGACCCUGCUGGCCUGGGCUGCCAGGUUCUGUCAGGAGCAGGAUGCCUAAUCCUUGUUUGUACAGUGGAGAGAAAUGGAAGACAACACAUGGCCUUGGACCUUCCAGACCGGCCUGAAAAACAUUACUAUUUAGAGUCAUGGCUCCUUCACGCUUCUCUCAGUAAUAUGGCCCCAAUCAGCAUCACCCCGUCGCAGUCAUUGCCCUAGCAAGCUCAAGACUGAAGCCAAGAUUUCACAUUGGAAGGUGCUUUAAAAGACUUUCGACAUGAUCUUCUGUGACUGGAAAUGAAAACAGAGCUGGUGCUUCCAUGGGUGGCAAAAUCAAACCAAACAUUUCAAGUAAGUUUAGUCUGUAUUCAGUAGAGAUAAUACAAGCAGUACAGCAAUAUAAAUUUUGGCCUGAGUUGUAUUGUACUGAUGUCAUAUCCAGGCAGAAAAAAGAUCAGAUAAAGAACCAUUUAUAGCAGAAGGCAGAAACCCUCUGGCCUCUGUCUAAAGCCAGCUGAAGUAAAUGGAAAUGUUUCUUUGAGCCUCAAUGAGUUUAGAUUGGGCAUUUUGAGCCUAUUUCUUUCUACCUUCUAAUUGCUGGCUAUUUAGACACUUGCCUUUAAGAUAGCAUGUUUAAGGAAGUUAAGAUGCAUAUGAGAUGUCUUCUCUGCACUCUUCAUAAUUUUCCUACUGCAGUAUAGUGACUGUCCAAAGGGUAAGGGAUAAAAGAGUCCAGCUUUGUUUUAGCUCACUGCUGCAUAACCCAGACUUUUUUUGGGGGUUUUCACAGCACUAUGAUAGAGAAAAUGCAUGUGCACCAUGGACCAGUAAACAGAAAUAACUGUGGAAGACUGAUGGUGUCCAAUGUCUUUGAAAGACUUUCAGACUGAGUUUUUCACUCCCCUUUCUUGUUUAGGAACUAUCAAGAGAAAAGCUGGUUGGAUAUUUGGCAUUUCUUUGUUCCACCACACAUGAAAAUGGUCUGUGUUAUCAUUAUCUUCCCCUGCUCCAGUCCAACAAGAACCUAUGAACGGAGGAAAGAAACCUCCGAUCACCUGCCUCUCCUGCCUCAACACAGAAAUGAACACGGAGUCACAUGCACGUAACAGCUCUACAAAAGAUUACCCAAGAAGACAAUAUUUGUACACUUGUGCAUCUUUUUUGUAAGCAACUGAGGCUCAUUUUUCUUGGAAAAAGUUGUUGGCUUUAGAUUUCACAGUGUGGAAAACAAGGAAAUGAAAAUAGCUCCUUGAAGUAUGGGUCUUGGUAGGAAAAAGCCGUGUCUGGCUCUUUUCUUGUUCCCAGACAGCAGACCUGUCUGGGGAAUGCAGCAUGUGCAGGAUUGCAAAAAGGACUAUUGAUGAUAAAAGCAAAGCAGAAAAGUGCUCAGGAGUCUCUUUAGGACAGCAGUGGCCAGAGGCUAAGAAGCAUUGAGGACUGAAGUCUGCUCAGCUCCGUGCUCCUCUGGCCAAGCACUGCACAAGUCCCCCUGCACUGUUAUGAUAUACAACCAUGACUAAUAGUCUCCAUAGCUUAUGGAUCAAACUUGGUUUGUCAUCUGUGACAGUGGCUGUGAUGCUGUUGAUCUGGGACAGAGACAAAAAUCAGCCUCGGUGGUGGUUUUUUUGCAGUUUAUAGCAGGAUCAACCACAGAUUGGAUUGCUGAAGCCAGAUAGCGUGGGAUGAGCUCUGUGCUUAAACCAAAGCUCAGUUUCCUCCCAGCAACUGCCUACCUGCAGAGUCUUCCCCUCACACGGGGUGUAGCUCUGCUCUGCCCUGGCAAUCAGGCCGGCUGAGUGGCAGAAGCAUUGUGCUGAGCCCAGCACAGAGCUCACCCGCCUUCCUGGCUUCCCAUGGACGCCUGGUUCCUAGCAGGCAGCCUGCAGAGAAUGCAGAGACCUUCCCAUGCUGCUGCUGGAAAUGAAACACAGAUGUGUCAGUUGCUGAGAUUUUUGAUGCCCUGGCUUUUCCACACAUGAUGUAUGCUGUGCUCUUGGAGGGAGGGGUGACACAGUCAGAUUCCUACCGGGUUGUCAGGCUGCAUAAAUGCCCGCGUCUCGCAUCUGCGCUUGAAAGUCCUCCUGCUUUUGAUUUGCCUGUUUUUGUGAGCGGCUUGUAGAAAUUUGAUCAUGCCCGGUUUUCAUUGACGCAGUGAUGUACCGUGUGCCUCAGGAAUGGAAAUCCAUUAUGUCAAAAAUGUCACUGAUCAUGCCCUUGUCAAGGCAAGGUCUCUCACCCCAAAGAGAAAAGCCCUACCAUGGUUGACAGUCCUGCCUCUGUAGGUGUACAGAUCCACUGGGGUUAGUUUGUACCCGGGCAAGAGCCCCCUGGCAGAGUGCAGCUGGUUGUCACACGGUGCAUCUCAGAGACCUUUGGGUCUUCUGACUCCUCUGGGGCAACAACAGAUUUGUCUUCUGUAUGGUAAGAGUAAAGAGGUGCUGGUCCGUAUGCUGGGGUCCUUGGGAUGAGGUGGGGUACACGGCUGUGUUUGUCUAACAGCCUCUUUGGGAGAGCGUGCUGCGGGAGCUGAGGUGAGUGGGUGUGCUGCAGCAGCAACGGAUUUGGCUCCACGCUUCGAACUCCAGCUCUGAACAUGCACGUCCCCAGACAACCAGCCCAUCCACAUUGUGCUUUGGUUCAGCUCAAACUGCUGGAAUAAAAGGCAACCAAACCCCAAACCUAUAGAAUCAGAUGGCAAACACCGACCACUGCCUGGCUGUGCCAAGUGCCGCCCUGCGCUGCCGGCUCAGCUCUUGCAGCCUGGGUCACAGCCUUUCGACCCAUAUGUCUGUUGGUUUUUUUGGUUGGUGUUUUUUUUUUUUUUUUUUUUUUUAUAAAACCCCCUCCUUAUACUAGGAAACUAUAACACCCACAGGGUUAAAAAGGUUACAGUUGUUAGUGCAUGGGAAGGAAAAGGGUGCGGUUCAAAGAAAACGUGUUUCUGACUUUUUUUACAAAAUCGAAGUAACAGAAGUGGUGAGCCAACACCUGAAGUUAGCUUAAUCUUAGCAAACUUCAGAGGGAAGAAUCAAUUGCACAUCUAUAGCAUGGCCUGCACCCCUGAGCAACCACAUUUAUUCUGUGGUGCAAAGACAGAAAUUCAAGCUGGUUUUGCACCUUCUACAGAUAGUGCUGUAAUUUCAAGCCUCACUUUGUUUUAAACUUGGAAGGCUUCCAAGAAAGAGGCAAAAGCUGUUGAAAUUGCAGUAUUUCGGUAUAUAUUCAGGGGAUGAUUUAGUGAGCAGGUAUGACUUUUUAAUGUGGCUACCCAGAGCUCCGUGCCACUGCAUGGCUCGUUUGGUUUUGGUUGUAUCUCAUAUUAAUAUAAAAAAUAUGUCAACCAUGGAAACAAGUAAGAUUUGUCCUCUCAUUUGAAAUCCCUGGUGAAGUGAAUGGCUGAAGGACAGGGAAUUAGCAUAGACAGAGCAAGUGCCUUGGCCAAACAUGGGCUUCGGAUCCACCAAAUCCCACUCAAACACCUCUGCCAUAUAUUCAAAUGUGUUUUUUUGCUCCUGUUGUUUCCCUUUUAGCCUCCAAGAGUUUGCUCUGCUAGGCUAGACCAAGCUGAUGCAGCAGAGAUUCAAAGGGCUUUGGUGUUUACACUGCAUCAGCUCCUCCUCCCAUCCUCAGGGAGCCUCACUGCCAGCUCUUCGGGCAAAGCCUUGGGCAGUGCCCUUUGGAGGGCUGCACCCAGCCUUUGGACGGUGAGUGGCUUUAGGAAGCUUGUACCCUCUCAGGGGAAACUGCCACUGAAGGGGCAGGCGCCCAUGGGUUACCUCCGGCAUGUCUGCACGGGGACUUCGCUGCCGAGGGGCACCUUAGAGAAAUACCGCAGACAGGAAAGCAGGAAACGUUUUGCAGAGCAGAGAUAACAUUGAAAAAAAUACUCCAUAAAUGGUUUGAUUUACUGAUUCGCAUGUACAGUAGCUGCCAUGUAAGCAUCACAGGAAAAGGAAAUGGGAUGGAGGAGGAGUGCGAGGAAAAAGGUAGCAGGACAACAAAACAGGCUGGCAGAUUUCACUGGGGACAGGACGUCAUGUCCUGGUUUUUCUUCUGAGCACGAUGUGUUGUGAUCUGCAAUCACACAUGGACACUGAGGAUGUCAGUCCUUUGAUUCAAAAGGAAAGGUCUGUAUUUAUUGAAAACAGAUGGGCAACUUGCAUCACCUUGGGAUUCUCUACUGGAAAUUGACUCUUGUAUACAGCUGGAAUCCCCCGGGCAUGCUAGCCCUUACCUAGAGCAAACAGGUCUCUGAGCCACUGAUCUGAACUUCUACACCUCUGUGUGAUGGAGUUGUUGCAGAGCAGGCAUGUGAUGGUAGAGUUGUCACCUCUAUGCUCCAUUUCUCAGCUUUUCUCAAAAUCCCCUUUUGCAAGAUGACCUCAGAGGUCUGUGUGACUCCAUGUGAGGUGAACACCCCCCCGCCCCCCCCCACUAUGAACUUCAGCAAGCAAUGGGAGACACCUCCUGCCAGCAGCAUGUGUCUCCAUAAGAGCAUCAGGGAGAGCCUCUCUGCACAACUGAUUUUUUCGAGCUUUGCCAGACAUUUUGUGAUCUACCUGACUGCACCUCAGUGGGGGAACUCACAGGGCUGCACAGGCCCUAUUUUACAAUUACUUGUUGCUUCAUUUAUCUCCACUUGCUUUGUGUCACCGGCCUCCACUGGGGAAACUGAGUCUCACAUGUGGGUGAUGAUCCCACUCUGCAGUGGCCAGGCCAUGGAGCCACCUCCUGCAGAGUUAGAUGGUUACCUCAGAUGACUUUCUUAAGGCAUCUUCUCAGAGUCUUCAGGGAUGCUGGUAGGUGUGAAAGGCCCCUUUCAGUCUCUGCUGUUAGUAUUGUCACAAGCAAUUUAAUCUUCUGGAGAAAAGAAAGUGCCUGAUGAAGGUAGGACAUUCAGCCUUCAAUUGCAGCGAAAGAUUUAGUGGGGCACAUGUCUUGAGACGUGUGCUUCUCCGUUUCUCAAAUAAAUACCCUGAUACAGUCUGAAAAAGUAAGUAUGGUCUUCCUUGAGAUUUCUAGGUAUGCGUACACACUGAGGGGAAAAAUCCAAGUUUUUUCCCCUCCUUUCCCACCAGUUUUUCAUAUCCUCUUACUCCGUCAUAAAGAUGAAAAAGACAACAGAAAAAUCUACUGGAAAUCACCCUUGAAAAUGCUGACUUUUGAGCUCUGGCACAUUUCUCUCCAUAUAAAUAGAUAUCCCUAUAAAUUGGUCUUCCUAUAGACACCUGGGAUUUUGGCUUGUGUUCAGCAGUUUCCAUUCACUUAAACAACAGAUUUACAGCCUCAUUUUCCAAACACUAUUUCCAUGCCCUACUUGGUGCCAGGAAUGUAUUUUUUGAAGAUGCAUUUGUGAAGCAACAAUACUAAUUGGAAAGACUCUUCAAGAUUAAAAGAUGUCCCUUCCAUUGUCUUUUCUCCUGACACUAGCAGCUUGAAUCAUUUUGUAAACAGAGCUACCCACAGAGAGAUAAAUGAUGUAGCUUCACCUGGUGCUGGUGUAGUACAGGUGUAUUUGAACACAUGAGACUGGACAUGUGAACUCUGUCUGCCCUGCAGUCUCUGGUGCAUGGGAGUGAUACCUGAGUUAGCUUUUCUAGAGUGGAAGCAGGUGGACCUUAACACCAUAAAGCUCUGUGUACUCUGGGUUACCCAGAUGUGGGGUGUUUUUGCAUGAAACUUCAGUGCAGGCAAAUCUGCAGGCUUCACCAUUUUAAGAAAUGCAAACAUUUGGUAAUUCUCCACCGGCUUUGCUAGAGUAUGUGGCCAAAUAAUGGGAGGGAAACAGAUACUACUCAGUUCUGGACUGAUCUUGUGGGCUCUUUUCAUUAAUCGCAUCUCUGAGUCUUCUUCUUUUUCUCUAUUUAAAAAGACAGCUGUCACAUCUACUUCCUUUGAAGAUACUUUGUGAUGAAGUGGCAAAAAGAUGCUGUAUGAGACCCAGGUAUUACUACAAAUUUUAAAAAAAAUGUAUAGAUUACUAUAUGUAAUGAACAUGCAUGAAAUUCUCAGAAUUCUACAGAACUAAAUGCCAAGACUCCUGCUGACUUGACUGGGUGAGUGUCAUGGUGUGCUGUGCCCACAUCACUGCUCGGGUCUCAGGCAAGCAGAACCUCUGGCAGGAGAAAGGCAGGCUGCAGUCCAGCUGCAUCAUGGAGCUGCGGUUUAUCAAAUACAUACAGCAGAUACGUGGGUGAAAAUAAAGCGUGUCUUGUUAGGCUUCCAAGUAAGUACCAGAUACCCAAGAAAACAGUAAUGCAAGCACAGCCAUAAAAUCCGACUUCCAUUUCUCUGCAAAGGCCCUUGUCUCAUCACCUGGGGUGACAUCCCAGCACUUUUGGGAACAGGAGUAAAGUGCUUUGAGGACAAAAGAAGAAAGAAGUUGGUCCAGAAAGGAUGUAGUGUCUUUGCUCUGCUUGAUUUCAAGGUGUUUGAGAUGCCUAGAUACUGGUGAGGGCUCUGGGCAGUGGUAAAUGAGUUAAUUUCUUCUGUAGGCAGAAGAACAUGAGUAUCUGCAGGCAGCUGUAGGAGCAGCCCUGGAUAUCCUACGUAUGUUUUUGGGCACCCUGGAGAAACUGACAUUGUAUUACUGAGCCAGGCAGUCCCUUUGCUCAGGACUUCUUUAAAGACCAGGAAGGCAGCAGCCACAGCAGAAGCGUUGGUCAUCAUCCUCCUGUUACCCAUCUCAGGCAGUUCAUGUUUCAUACAUUUUGCUUUGUACAAAACCAGCCACUUGUGUCUGUCUGCUCGCCAGCAGACCCCCUGAAACAGCCACCUAGGCCUGCAGCUGCGGUUGGGCCCACUUUGCAAUACUUUUUAUUUGUUCUGUUGCAGUGGACACCCUGCCGUAUGGGGCAGACCCUGUUUCUCACAGGCACCAUGCAAAAGCAACAUGAAGGGAAAGCAGAGUUCUGUAAGCUGCAGUUUAACAUAGCAUCUAAAUAACUGCUCGAGGGCACAGCUUCAGGAGGCAGGGCUAGCCAACAUCAUAGGCUGCUUCUGUCCAAAAGGGAAGGUCCAGCGCCCUUUGGAAAAUAAACGAUAUGAUAGUUUUCUGCCGUUUUAGGGAGGAGAAUUGGCUCAACCAAGGCUCCGACAAACACCAGAUAUGGUACAAAGGUGGUUGGCAGCAAAUUGUUGUGUUGGCUCAGCUGCCUGUGGGACUGCAGCUUGCAUCAGUCUGAAGCAUGCGCUUAAAAUGCUUUAUGAGUUGAGGUCUGAUUACUGGGCUGGAGCAAUGGAGUUAGAUCUGGGCAGCUUUAGUGGAUCUCGGAACAGUGUCAGGCUCCCAGUGGCUGCUCCUAUUAGCACAUGGCAGCACAAUUUGAAAAAUGCUUUGCUUCUUCGUGCUGACUGGGCAGAAUGACAGCCAGGGAUGUGUCAGCUAUUUUUUUUUUUUUUUUUGCUUUGAAGUAUGAUUUUAAAAAAAUAUUUAAUAAAAUGGACACAGUGUAUACCAGGACUAUUCCCCUAGAAAGCUUCUUAGUAUUCCAAAGGCUAAAAGACAGGAGGAGAGAAUGGAGGCUAGCAUAUUAUUUAUAGAAAGGACAUCUUCUGGUGUCCUCUGUGGUUGUUCUGUCAUGCCCAUAUAAUGGUUUGUUGUAACAAAUUAUGAGUCUGUGAUAGUAAUCUAAAAUUUGUGCACCUAUUCCUAGCAGCAAUGUUUUCUGCUAGGACACCACCUUUUACCUCCCUGUUAGAGGGGGUCUUACUAGAAGCAUCGGUGGUAGGACAACAAAACCAUAAAUAAUUAUCUUAUGAAGCCAAAAUCCUUGUGAAAGAUGCUAGCAGCUUGGUGGUAUUUACUGUUCAAAGUCUAAUCCAUUAUUUGGGUAUGAAGAGAAGCAACAUCUAGUAGUUAAAAACCUUGUCAAGCUCAAUCACAAAAUCAAAAGAAAAGCCACAUUCAAAUGCAACAUACUUUAUAAGAUUAAUUAUUACUUCGUUGAAUAAGAAAUUCAAAAUAGUCUGAAAUGAUAAAUCAGUUUCUGUCUGCUCUUGGUCUUUUUUUGGAAAUCACCAGAUUACAAAUAUUCCCUACUUCCAUGUCUGCUACUGAAUUUCGGUUCACUUUAUUUUAGAAAAUUUGAGGGGAGUUGUUUAUGGUAUAACUGAGGGGAAUUUCCAGAUGGAAAGGAGGAGUUAGUACAUACAAAGCCGGACUCUGAGCUUUUCUCCUAAGCUUUGGUUUUUUUCUGAGAAGGGGAAAACAAAACAACAACAGUUCCUUUUUACUGGUGCUUUUUCAUCUGGCUGUGUAGGUGGUACGCUGAAGUAGUAGUUUGAUGGAGAUUAAAGGCAGUGUGACUGCUAUGUAACUUCUGUCAGAAGGGGGAAUCCCAGCUCUUUAAAGGGCAUGCGCAAAUAGACGUGAGUAGCGGUAUUACAGGGUUCAAAAGAAAAACCAGGCCAAACAAUCUCCUCCCAGAACCUCCCCUAGAUUUCCAGUAUGCCUAAAAGUGGGCCGUGUCCUUGGCUGGGGAGGUUUCUGCCAGCAUUGCUGUACGGUCACUGCGUCUGGGCUCUGCACCUCACCCCCAUUGCACCCUGUUGCUUUGCACCCAGCCUGAAGAGGUCCUGUUGGGUUAAAGCAUCUCCUGGAGAGAUGCACAGCCUUGCUCUGGAGAUGCAGAGAAUAGAGAGCCCACCAGUCCCCCACUGUGUUUGGCUCCUUCCCAUGGUAUUUUGUCCAGUUAUCAAAGAGCGCUGCUGAAAACCGUCUCCUUUCUUCCAGGCUCAGUGUGUCUGGACUCAGCAGAAGCCAGCGCAUCGUUUAUAUACAAGGAAUGCACCUGUUUAAUACAUAAGGAGCACACCUAUUGCAACUUUCUCACCUAAAGUAAAGCUGUCUUUAGUUCCUGGAAUUUUUUUCCAUGUAAAUUCAAGGUACAAAAAGAGGCAUAACUGCCGGAAACCAUUCUUGGUAGAACAACAGACACUUAACAAGCCCUCCUUUCAGUUUAUCCCACAUCUAACCCACAGUCUGUUUCCUCUCCUUAGAAAUCACACUCUUGAUCAUCUGCGGUCCCUAGAUACCUGUGGCUGAGUCCUCCCAUGUGGCCAGUGCUGAGCAGCAAAACACCGUAAUCCUGGUGUGGAUUCAAAAGCAUGCUGAAAUCACAGUCCCUCUCCCCAAGAGUCUCAGUGUAGCAGAUCUGCACUAGAGAUGACCACCUCACAUCAACAGGUCCUUCUAGGAAACGCUGCCACACCCAGGAUUUACUUUUUUAAUCCUGUUGUUAUCUUUCGCUUUAGUACACAGCAAUCCAGCAGCUGUAGUCCUUAUUCCCCAGCUAGUGGCAGGUACCAGUCUAUGUCUAUCCAUUCCUAUGAGAAUCUUGGUUGCUCUGGAGAAAAGAUGUGAUAAGGAGUGUAGGGGUGGAAGAGGGUGAGGUCUAUACCUCUCCCACCGAAAGCAGGCCAAAUAUAUGGAAAACACAUGUAUGUUUCAGAAGGAAAGUGAUUGGGGAAGUGGCCUGGAGUCUGGGGAACUCUGCUCUCAGAAGUCCCAGCCUCUGGUGCCAGGGUUAUUUUUGUCUUUUAGCAGACAGCUGUAGUGGAUCAAAUGGAGAAAUAGUCCUGACAGCUGGGCCCAAAACACAACUGCUGCCCAUGUACCCUGCCAAAGGUCAUGCUCAAGGCCAGACCUGUGCUGGCAAGGCUGAAAGGUUUUGGUGAUAGCUAGGAACUCAAGAAACAGGUGUUUUUUAUGCAAGUAUUUGUGUAAUUAACUGCACAUGGUCACAAGAGACUGAGAAGUGAUUUAAUGUGAUGAAUUGGCUAAAGCCAAUAAAAGACCAAGGAGCAGGGUGAGUCCUGAACCUCACACAAGAUAGUGUUUACUCUUGUCUUUGCUGGUUGCUGUUAGUUAAUAUUUUUUGUUGUUGUUUUUUGGGGGGGUGUUUGUGUGGUUUUUUAUUUAUUUAUUUUCUAGAUUGCUUUGAAGAAUGGAUGUGUGGGAAUGACACAAGACAGUAAGAGUGGCUUUACUGGGGGACCAAAUGUCUGUCUAGCUCAAGAUCUGGUCUUCAGUGGUGGCUAAAAGCAGUCCUUGGGGAAAAGCAGUGUAAUAAAGGCAGCACCUGGUAUCCUCUCCCCAAAGCCUCUCCAUGACUCUGCAGGUCAGGGGCUAUUUCAGCACUGGUCUUUCUACUGCUAUGCAUGAAUAUGCUAAGGUAAAAUUACUCCCCUACAUCUCUGCCUACAGGUAACACCACAUACACAGUCACAGUUGCUUUAUUUUAUUAUGUUAUAGUGCUGUACUGGGAGCCCAUGUUGUGGUCAUUCAUUUGUAUUUGAAAUCUUUCACUUCUCCAGCUCUCAGAUUAGUUAUGGGAUAACUUUUAGUGUUCUGCAGGACAUGGUUUUGUUCCCUGGUACAGUAUCCAAUGCUUUAGAAAACUCCGAAUCUAUCAUGUCUGAGCCAGACUCAUAAAAGCUGGAACUCAGUUUGGCAAAUAAAUCUUGUUUCUCUUUGAAAGAUGCUUAUUAGCAUUUGCUACACUCCCACCCUUAGCUCACAGUUGUUUGCAUCUGUCGCUUCUGUUUUACUGUACUUACCCAAUUCAUCCUCUUUAGCCUUCUGGAAUAUUGAUACGCUAUGAGCACUUCUUCAAAUGAAAGCAGGAGAGAGACCAUGUCAUCUCUUUCAGGAAUACUAAUUAGCUAGAGUGCUCAUUUUAAAUAUUUUUUCCUGGUAGACCUUGUUUAUCAUCCUCUUGAUAUUACUGAGCAAAAAAGUCCCUCGACAGCUCCAUGCUGUACAUGUACAUGAUCUGACUUCUUUCUGAAUACAGACAAAUAUUUAUUAAGUACUCUUUUUUUAUAUAUUACUGUUAAUUUUGCUGCCUCUCUUUAGUGAUGUUCCUGCACUAUUGUUAAGCUACUUCUGUUCUUAGUAGAUGUUAAAAUACUUUCUCUGCUCUGUUCUGAGGUGUUUCCAGAUGGUUCAAAUUUGACUUACUCAUUUUUCACACUUAAUUACUUCUAUUUUGUAUUAGUUAGCAGCCAUUUCCCCCUUUCACAUCUGUAAUAGAUUGCGUUUCUACUUUACAUUGAUUCCUUUACUUUGUCACCGAACUAGGAUGAGAUUUUUAUCUGUUUGCACUCUUGACUUGGAAAUCCCAAUUUUUUGACCAUCUGAUAAACAAUUCAUCAAAGGACUGAACUUUUGUUCAGAUUUUUCUACCCACAGUUUUUCUGCCAAUGUAUCUAGAUAGUAACUUUUGUCAAGUUAGAGAACUUACCUUUUUAAUGUUGAGUGUUUGGGGCAGUCUUUUGUUUUUGGGGCAGCUACAAAUACUCAGGUCACAGUCAUGACAGCUGGUCUUUAGAGAGCAACAAACUUUCUACUCAGCAAUUAGUUCAUCAUGGUAUGCCAUAGUGAAUGAUCUCACCUUAGAUGCAGUACCUGAUGGGUGAGAGAAUUCACCUCUAUCACUAAAUGCUAUUUUUCUAUUGACUCUCACAUCUCUAGCAUGCCUCCCACUUUGAAGUCUAAUUGGAUGAGGGUUGAAUGAAUAAUGGGUUUAAGGAACAACUCAUCCUGCUUUUUGACUUUCUGACUUUCUUUGAUGGUCUGUAGCAGAUCGUUCUGCAGAUAUUUUUCCUCUUCUGCUCAGCAUCUUGUAAAUCUGACUUAACAAUUCGCAAGCUUGUAGUGGUGAUAGAGAGCACUGUCCCCAGUCUGCCCUUCCUCAUCAACAGUUUUAUUACAGUGAUCGGGAAAGUCAUCUCACCAGGCUUCUGUGGCAUUAGUUACACCAAAUUCCUUCACAACUAACAUUACGUCCUGCUCGUGUGUUACUAAUCUUUCUAGCACUGAUAUAGAUGACUACAAGUUCUCAUUAUUUCUCAUUCAGGCUUGCCAGGUUGCUGGCUGCAUGCUGAGUUGUGGCGCACACUUCCUCAGCACUAUCUUUAGUGUUGCUGGUCUAACCAGCCCUGUAUGGCCCCCUCUAAAAAUAUGUGGAGCCUACAUGUGGCAGCAAUUUUUGUUUCUGAUGUUACCUGUCUUCCUCAAGAGCAGGAGACAAGUGAAAGUAAGCCUGGCUGCCUCAUGCCCAUUGUGCUGGCCAUGCACAGCUUAUUCCCAAUUUCUUCUGCUUUGCCUUGGUAUUUCAGAAUAUCAGUCAAAUACAAGUCUUGUUUUUUUGAGUUCAGGCUGAUAUUUCAUGUCAGCUCUAGCUGCACGAAAACAAGAAAGACCUGAAUACUUAGUGAGAAAAUAUUUAGGUUUAGGAGGCUUCAAGAACGGUUUUGCUGAUCUGUUGAUAUGCACAUGAAGAUUGAGAAGUGAGGUUGACUCUGAACUGCUUGCGGGUUGCAUCACUGUUACAGUAAUAAAAAACAAAUGUCGCUAUAAUAUCUGGGUCAUGGAAAGGUGCUUUUGAGACAGAGACAGGCUGUUGUGGUGGGAGUGUAUUUCCAGAAGGAGGAAGGAAAGAGAGUGUGAGACAGUAACAGCAAGUGAGUGUGUAUGUAUUUGAGAAAGUGAGAAACAUCAUGAGCCAGCCAGCCUCCCACUGUGGGACCUGCUGCGGUACGUGGCAGGGCAGCACAGCGCCCAGCAGCAGAGCUCCAGCUCCUGUCUCCCAGCUCCCACCCCAUAACAGGGUGGCCAAGUCCACCCAGGGCUUGCCCAGGUGGAGGGGAUGGCCUCACUCCUGGUUACAGAGCCUAGAAUGGGCUGGAGGGACCAAAGUGAAAUCUGAAGCCAGAUGAAGGCAUCUUCUGCAUAAAGGCAGAGAGCUACCAGGGCAGACGGAUGCUAUGAUCCCAUGGCUCACAGCAUGGAUGCUGCACCAGGUAGUACGGAGAGGGUCAGAGGGAGCCUCCUGAGAGAAGUAAGGGACGCAAGGAUGGAAAAGAGUUGUCAUUUUGUCAAGUCAGGAAAGCCAGGACAGGACUUGAAGGCAUUACAGUCAGAGCAGUCACACACAAAACCAAGACAGGAAGAGUGGUCUGAUGCAGGGAGUGCAAGGGGGUUUCUAUAGUGGUGGCAUUUUGGGUGAGAAGUCAGGGGGGAAGAUAUUGUGCUACUGAAAGUGGGGACAGUGAAGAAGGUGUAGGCAGGAGAUUUUACUGUAAGCAAGGUGAGAAAAGCCCCAGAGUUUGGUGAUGCUGUAAGCAAAGACAGAAGUUACCGAAUCUGACUGGAGGGAGAGAAUAAGAAGACGGGAGAAGAAAAGGAGAGUGAACCUGGCAUGGAGGUGGAGGAGGGAGUCAGCAGGAACGGGAGUGGGUCUAAAAUAAAGGUUAUUGUAGGAAGAGUGGUCUCUGAGCUGGUGGUGGGACAUGUAAGAGUUCACAGUUACAGAGAGGUCAGACUAACAAUAUAGAUGGAAAUAUCCUUCUCAGAAAAAAUGGUUACUGUGAUAAGGAAUAGGGACAAGUUUGCCAGGGGAGGGACUGGCAAAUGGUACUGAAGCCCUCACUGGCAAGGCCUGCAGAGGUGACUUGUGGGACAGGCACCAAGGGGUGAGAGUCCAGCUCCAGGAGGAGAUGGCACUGAAGGUUCAUCAGGGAGGGUCUGGAUGG